AAAAGAUUGUGGCUGAAAGACCUGUGCUGAUGAUGAUUAUGUGACAGGAGUGGGCGGAGCUCAGCAGUUGUUUCCUGUUUAGCUCCACGUCACAACUAGGCCUCUCUCAGGAUAGGUGCAUCCAGGCGAGGUAUCCCUUCCACAGAAAGAUGACUAAUUCAAGACCAUAGGCCAGUCUUUGUAAAAUGCAGGCCACAGAAACUCUAUCCCUAAUGCUACCACUUUCUUUAGCCUGUCGGUGAGGUUUGGAUAGAGUUAAUUUUCCUGUGCAGGAGGAUGCUUAGAGGAUCACAUGACUGCAUCAGCCAAUCAGAGCUUCUGCCCUGCUCUCCCAAGUCUGGCUAGAUGGGGAAGAGCUAGUUCAGGAAGUGAGAGGAAAGUGAGUGGAGGUCACCUUCAGGCCUCUGCUGUGGACCUGUACCUCAUCACAUCACAGGCCUAAAGUACCCAGUUGCUGCUUCAAUCUAUUUCUGAGUGACAACACCCUUCACAGGAUCCUGCCGAUCAGGUCAUUCAGCAAGUCUGUCUGUUCAAGAUCAGACCCAAGUCCGCAGUGGAAAGAAGAGACAAGUGAGCCCACAGACCCCACUUACAAAAGAAGAGGAAAUGGGAGAGAAAGUCUCGGGCAACUCCAGUCCACAAGUCUAAGUCCACCCUGGCGGUAAUCCCUAACACCGGAUUCCUAAGUGAAAAGCACAGCCAGUGUUUGUUAACUCUUCAUUCUUAUUCAAGCUACAAAGCGCAGUCUAAAGUAUAUUUCAGCUGAGCAAGAAGCUAGUCACCAAUGACUACCUGUGAUAAAGUCCGAACUGUGAUUCCUAAAGCAUCCUUCAGCUAACAUUGUAUUAAUUAUUGAACUAUUCCUGUUUAUUCUGUAGGUUCCUAAGUAAUGUUGAAGUAGUUUCCAUAACCACAUCUGUGAUCUUUAUUGCCUCAGUGCUUGGUCCAGGAAGCUGCUAUCCUUGAAGUGUUAUGGUUAACACUACCCUAGUGUCAGGAACUCUAUUCUGGUAAUUACACCCUGUUUCACUACACACGCCACCACAGUUAGCCAUCACAGAGGGGUUAGUGUCCUGUUCCAAUUGGAACUUAGUCCACCACCCCUAAACAGUGUUUUGUAAGGCAUCGUCUGUAAACAUUUUAAACAUGUAUGAGGGAAAAUGCCACAAAAAGUCUUUACCAGGUGCAAACAAAUCCUUAACCCCUUAAGGACCACGGGUUUUUCCGUUUUUGCCCCCUCCCAUAGACUUGCAUUGAGGGGGCGGGGCGUGACGUCACACGGGCGCGGAGUUGUGACGCCACGAUCUUCCGUCCCUGUGGUCGGGAGGAAUUAGCCUGAGAUCCUCCAGCACUUCCGGAAGCAGUUACA